rnacentral:lncRNA from 1 species
UGGGAAAAUUGCCAAAAGAGAAUAAAAAAACCAGGUUGUUGUCCCUUUGGUAUAAAACUAGUUUUGUCCAUUUUUUCUCCUUUUUACCCUUUGUAUUUCUGAAAACUAAUGAAAUAAAUAAUUUUGAGAAUCAAAAAAAUUAUUAAAAAUAUAAACAAUUAAUAAAACAUCCAUAUACACAAGCUGGUAAUUUUGUUUUGUUCAAAAACUUGGUAAAUAAGAUUUUUAAGAUACGUUCUACUAAAAGUAGAAUGCAUCUUCAACAUAAAAUAGUAUAGUAGAAAACAAUUUCUAAAAUAAACACGUUCAUCUACUUCUUUUAGAACGUCCAUUUUACUAUUUACUAAAUUUCUAAAAAAGAGGAAUGUGCAUUCUACUAAUCGUAAAGGUAUCCACUUUCCUUCCGAAUGCAUCUUCUACGUUUAUAAAGUAUUCUAAAUUUUAGGGAAUGUGUUUUCUACAAUGUACUCUUACGUCUACUCAAAGUAGAAAAUGUAUUCAAAAUUUUUAUCAUUCUUCUAAACUUUUAGAAGUCGCCUUCUACGGAUAAGAAUACCUGAUUUUUUGCGAAAAUUAAUGAAAUUUCAGUUAAGGAAAUAUUAUAAAAAUCUCCUAAAAAUAUUCUAACUUCCUAAAACGUGUUAUGGUCGAUUUUACUUGAAAAAAUGAAAGAAAAAAAUGAUUAUCCCUUCUCUUCUUCAUCAAUCUAUGGUUUUCCCAUAGUUUUUCUUUUGAUUCUUCUCACAAACUCUUGUUCUCUAUGAUGCAUAUCUAUACCGUUUUUUUUUUCGAUUGCCUUUCAAUUUUUUUUUUCAUUUUUUCCAUUAACUUCUAUUUUAAAUUCAAAUUAACUUUUAAAUUGUGUUUAAUUAGAUUAAAUAUAGGGAUAGUUUUGGGAUUAUGAGAAAAAUUAUACUAUUGAGACAACUUCAUGUUGGUUUUAUACCAAGGGGACAACAACCUUGUUUUUUUGUUCUCUUUUAGCAAUUUUCCCUUUUUUUUU